ACCGUUAUAAUGAACGAAGUCGAGUCAAAGUGUUGGAUCGUGCAAUCGACGUCCGUAAUAACUUGUUCUCAAUUGACUGCCUGCCCUUUUUUGACAUGUCAAGACACUUCAGGAGUAUCUGAACGAGUUCACCGACUUGAAGUUCGGGGAAGUGGAGCGGUAAUGAAGAGGAGAAAAGCCUGCUCGAACAUCACUUGAGUGACAUCAUCUGGGACAGUUGGAACAACUCUACGCUCCACAUUUAAUUCAGUGUCAAUCCUGAUUUCAUCAACAUGGACUGAUGGAACAAAAGUCAUGCAAAUAUGCUGUUUUGUGUAGUGGUGUCACAAGAUAAAGUACUUCCUUGAUGAGUUCAGAGAUGGAUGAUCAAUCAAACAUAGAAUAUGGUUUCUAGCAACCCUGCAGGUAUCCUUCAUACGCCAAUGAGAGUGCAUAAAGCUUGCACAUAUUAUAAACGGUAUCUGUGCUAUCCCCAAUAUAUAACAUUAGACCAAUUACAUUGCCAAAUUACAAUGGAG
rnacentral:lncRNA from 1 species